GACGAACGCUGGCGGCGUGCUUAACACAUGCAAGUCGAACGAUGAAACCUAGCUUGCUAGGUCGAUUAGUGGCGAACGGGUGAGUAACACGUGACUAACCUGCCCCUUUCUCUGGGAUAACGCUCCGAAAGGAGUGCUAAUACCGGAUACUUACACCGAGGCACAUGCCUUGGUGUGGAAAGUUUUUCGGAAAGGGAUGGAGUCGCGGCUUAUCAGCUUGGUGGUGAGGUAACGGCUCACCAAGGCGACGACGGGUAGCCGGCCUGAGAGGGCGACCGGCCGCACUGGGACUGAGACACGGCCCAGACUCCUACGGGAGGCAGCAGUGGGGAAUAUUGCACAAUGGGCGCAAGCCUGAUGCAGCGACGCCGCGUGAGGGAUGAAGGUCUUCGGAUUGUAAACCUCUUUCAGUAGGGACGAAGCGAAAGUGACGGUACCUAAAGAAGAAGCACCGGCUAACUACGUGCCAGCCGCCGCCGUAA
rnacentral:rRNA from 1 species